rnacentral:rRNA from 1 species
AGAGUUUGAUCCUGGCUCAGGACGAACGCUGGCGGCGUGCUUAACACAUGCAAGUCGAACGGUAAGGCGCUUUCGGGCGUACACGAGUGGCGAACGGGUGAGUAACACGUGAGGAACGUGCCCUUGACUUUGGUAUAGCACUUGGAAACAGGUGGUAAUCCCGAAUAUUCAGUUGCCCGGGCAUCCGGGUGGUUGGAAAGCUUUUUGCGGUCAGGGAUCGUCUCGCGGCCUAUCAGCUUGUUGGUGGGGUAGUGGCCCACCAAGGCCUUGACGGGUAGCCGGCCUGAGAGGGCGACCGGCCACAUUGGGACUGAGAUACGGCCCAGACUCCUACGGGAGGCAGCAGUGGGGAAUAUUGCACAAUGGGCGGAAGCCUGAUGCAGCAACGCCGCGUGCGGGAUGACGGCCUUCGGGUUGUAAACCGCUUUCACCCAUGACGAAGCGCGAGUGACGGUAGUGGGGGAAGAAGCACCGGCCAACUACGUGCCAGCAGCCGCGGUGAUACGUAGGGUGCGAGCGUUGUCCGGAAUUAUUGGGCGUAAAGAGCUUGUAGGCGGUUGAUCGCGUCGAUAGUGAAAUCCCGGGGCUCAACCUCGGGCUUGCUGUCGAUACGGGUUGACUUGAGGAAGGUAGGGGAGAAUGGAACUCCCGGUGGAGCGGUGGAAUGCGCAGAUAUCGGGAAGAACACCGGUGGCGAAGGCGGUUCUCUGGACCUUUCCUGACGCUGAGAAGCGAAAGCGUGGGGAGCAAACAGGCUUAGAUACCCUGGUAGUCCACGCUGUAAACGGUGGGUACUAGGUGUGGGUCGCAUUCCACGUGAUCCGUGCCGUAGCCAACGCAUUAAGUACCCCGCCUGGGGAGUACGGCCGCAAGGCUAAAACUCAAAGGAAUUGACGGGGCCCCGCACAAGCGGCGGAGCAUGCGGAUUAAUUCGAUGCAACGCGAAGAACCUUA